CGGGAAUCCAAAACCGGGGCGGUCACAUGGAGUCUCUGCACUCGUCCGACACCGAAACUUGCGGCAGGGUCCCCACAUCUUCUCAGCUUUACCUGCUUUAUCGCUUUCCUCUCUCUCCUCCGUCGGCCUUCGUAAUCGUAUGUUCAUUCACAUAUAUAGGACUUCCAUACCACCUCUGCCUGAUAAUCUCUCUCAACUUGUUGAAUUUUAAAAUCUUUGGUUCUUGACUUCCCCCCUCUCUGCGCUGCUCUCCGGAGCUAUUGCAGGGAUCUUUCAGAGCAGCGUCGCACAGAGAGAGAGAGACUUAAGGAAUUUGACAUUUGUGAAGAAAGAAAUGGCGGUUUCAAGGGUUUCUUUUGGAUUUUUGGCUGUUGCUGUUGCUUUCAUUUUUGUCAUUGCAUUGCCUGCAGUUCAGGCCCUUUCCCCUGCUCCCGCUCCUGCCCCCACCAGCGACGGUAAUAACACUUGCUUCUCUCUAUGCCUUUUAAUUUGCAUAUUUAGAUCUGAGGUCAAAUUAGCUUCAAUUUCUUUGUUUGUGAUUCGAAUCUCUUUGUCAAUGGAAGUCAAAAUAUAAAUUUUAAAGAUUAAUUUAUCUGCUUUGCAAGAUCUUGACAAUGUGGAUUGGAUUAGAGAAAUAUGAUCAAUUUAAUGAUAAGGGUAAAUUAUUAAGUUUUGUUAUUUUGCAGGGACAUCAAUUGACCAAGGGGUUGCCUAUGUACUGAUGUUGGUGGCGCUGGUGCUCACUUACCUCAUUCAUGCUGCUGACUUUAGGUUUUGAGUGAAGAGAGACAGAGGAUUUGUAUGUAAUCUUAAUGCUUGUGUGCGAUCGAGGGUUUUGUUGUAUGUAUGGAUUGAAGCUGUUUUGAAUUUGACGAAUUUCUAAUCUUGUUGAGCUUAGUGCUGUUUGCUACUGUUAAACUUCAUUUUUGCCAACUUCCCUCAUUUUGAAAAUAGCCUGCUGCAUUUUGACAACAAUAGUAUGGUUUUAUGCGAGAUAUUGAUGCAUUUAUGCAAAUCAUUCAAUUCAAUGUGCUAUUAGGAAUAUGGGUAUCUACAGCUACACGUACAAAGAACUAUGAACAAAAUUCCUUUUGUUGUACAAUAGCAAUAAAGGUGCACACCCAGUGUAGCAGUUUCUCAAAUGCAUACGCAAGCAGCAAAGCAGAGCCUUAUCUUUUUGUUUAUUAAUUGAAAACUGAGUACUGGACUGCACAAAAACGAUUCAAGCCAAAAUGGACAAGAAGAAAUAGUUGUUACACUGUCGUUAUUGGGUUUUGUUUUUGAAGGAAUUAUUGCUGUGUGUGGCCAGACAAGAAACAAGUGGACUUGGAAUGUGGAUCACGUGUGAAGUUCCCAGUUUCUCACAGGGAAUAUCAAUAUGUUAUACAUAUAAAUUAAACUGGUAUAGAUUAUAUAAUUAAAAAAUAAGUGUACUUAGAAAAUAUAUUUGUAUUUAUAAUUUUCUAUGAAUAAUUAAAAAUAAAGAAAAAAAAGUGAAAAUGUUAGGUUUAUAUAUAUAGGACUGAGAGUUAAGAUCUCUUUUCUUAAUAGGUUUACAGAUAAUUUGAUCCAUUGAGGAAUUCUUGGCUCAGCUUAUGUGCACAACCAUCAAAUUGAGCAAUCUGAGGCCCAAUUCAUGUGCACAAAUAAGCACUUCCCAUUUGCUUCCACUUUACCAGAAAAAAAAAUAAAAAUAAAAAAAAUAAAAACAGAUGGGAUUUUUCUGAAAAUAUGAAGAGAGAUUUAUAUGAAUGUGAUAUACCAAGACUUGUAAAUAAUCUCUCAAGGAGUUUUUAUCUGUUUAAAAAUGUCGACAGCAGACGUUUUCAACUGGAUGUGAUAUCAAGUUUAUUUGUGUGGGUUUCUCAUAACUGUGGUUUGGACCAACUCUUCCAGGAUUUGGGUAGCAUUCUUGCAAAGCAAACUUUCACAUUUCAAGAAUAAGCAAGCCCAGAAAGCCAACGAUAGCUAAAAUACCUAUACCAUUUCUAUUCUUCUCAACCCUAGAAUACCACAGCAUAUAAUCUGUGUCACAAAUCUCUUCAACUUUUUCCAUCCAGCUAUGUCAGUCUUCCUCCUCUUUAUAGUUUCUACAGGCUCCAUUAACUUUUCAGUUACACCUAAUAUACUUUGUUAAGCUCACAUAGGGAGAGUUACACACACCUAUAUAUACCUGCUUGAUUUAUGUAUUAUUAAAAUUUUAUUACAUGAAUUAAUAAAAUUCCUUGUAAACUUUUUAUUUUUUGCAUAUAUAGUUUUUUUUUUAAUUUAUA
rnacentral:misc_RNA from 1 species